rnacentral:rRNA from 1 species
CAAAUUUCUGCCCUAUCAAGUUUCGAUGGUAGGAUAGAGGCCUACCAUGCUUUUUACGGGUAACGGCGAAUUAGGGUUCGAUUCCGGAGAGGGAGCCUGAGAAACGGCUUACCACAUCUAAGGAAGGCAGCAGGCGCGCAAAUUACCCAAUCCUGAUUCAGGGAGGUAGUGACAAUAAAUAACAAUCCAGGACUUCGGUCUUGGAAUUGGAAUGAGAACAAUUUAAAUCUCUUAUCGAGGAACAAUUGGAGGGCAAGUCUGGUGCCAGCAGCCGCGGUAAUUCCAGCUCCAAUAGCGUAUAUUAAAGUUGUUGCAGUUAAAUAGCUCGUAGUUGAAUCUUGGGGCUGGUUUGGCGGUCGCGUCUUUGACGUGUACUGUCGGCCGGUUCUUUUACUUGUGGGGAACGUAUGUGCCCUUUGCGGGGUGUGUACGGGAACCAUGGCUGUUACUUUGAAAAACAUUAGAGUGUUUAAAGCGGGCGUAAGCUUGUAUACAUUAGCAUGGAAUAAUAGAAUAGGACUUUGGUUUAUUUU